rnacentral:sRNA from 1 species
UUUUAGCCCCGAUAGAAACGAAAAUCCUUGUAGGCCGGUGUUCGGCCUGCAAGAUUGUAGUGGAUAGCGGGAGGGAAC